GGAUAGAUAGAUAGAUAAACAACCUUUGUCGAAACCAUUUUCAUUGUUGUAUAAUAUUUUAUUAUAUGUUUAUAGCAGAAUUAUGUAUUCUUUUCACUGGAAACACAUUGUUAUACUUACCGAAGCAUCGGUUAUAUCACUAGAAGAACUGCCUUCAUUUCUGAGUGCCACAUUCUGCAUGGGAUAAUAACAAACUGAAACUCACUUUGGGAAGGGCAAACCAGGACAGAUAAUAGACUCAAAUCAUUUCUCAUGAAGGUCCAUGGAAGGAACUGGAAUGAUUAAUCAAGAGACGAGAAGCUUCAGGACAUACAUGGAAGAUAUCUUCAAAGACAGAAUGUACAAUCACCUUGAAGAGAAAUUAAUCUUAUUGUAUUUUUCCCCAAGGUGUUGAACUGAGGCAAAUGGAUCCAAACAAUUUCAACGGGUAAAGUGCUGCAGUGACCUCACCUCUCUGUGUGUCCUUUUCCUCGAAGAUCUGGAACCUGAUAAUCUUCGAUCUUAGUAGUGCUCCAAAGUCUUCAAACAAAUGUUUCCUUAAAAUACAUUCAUCAAAAACCAUGGAUGACUCCUACUUUGCUUCUUUUCCCCAGUGUUCAUGGAUUUCUUGCCUAUGGUUCAGCCCAGGACUUAUUUUCAUCCAUCCUCUUCAAAGCAGGGAAUACAUGAAACUUUUCGGAACACCUAGAAGCCAAGAACAUGAAUGGAGUUUUCAGUUCAAUCCCAAGUAUGAAUUUAUCGAACUCCAUCUUUAAAGCCGGAUGAAUCUCUCGGCUGCCCUCUUCAUCAGAACUUCAGGUACCAUUAAGUACACCGCUGGGUGAGAAGAAGAAGUAAGCCCAAGUUCUACUUCCUUUAAAAAGGUUCUAUCAUUAAGGACUAAGGAAUAGGCGACUCAUAGCACAAGUGAGACGUGAGAAGUGGAUGGAGAUCUGUAAGAACAGAAUCCAGAAGAUGGAGUGAAUCCCUGAGAGAGGAAAUGCUUCCAAAACUGCUGUUAUGUCUUCUAUAGCAUAUAAAUAACAAUUGCCUCCCACGCAGUUUUUAUUUGCUGCCACAACAGUUCUGUGAAACAGCUAGCAAUUAUUGCUCCUAUUUUACAGUUUAAGAAACUGAGGUCAGACUAUUUAUGCUGCACACAAGCACUAGAUGCUGUAACAAACACGUGGCGGAGCUAGAAUGUGAAACAAAAUAUUUGUGUUUCCAAAGAUGAGACUAUUUUUGCUGUUUCGCAUUACCUCAGCUUAAAAGGUUGAAACAGACGUGACAGGCAGAUGCUUUUUUACUCAAGUACUUCAUAGAAAACAGAUUCUGCACCAUAAAGCACACCUAAUCCUCUAGGGGUGGCUAUUAGGUCCCAUUUUUAUUCAUUAGUUUGUGUCACCGAAGGAAAAGCUUCACUGAAAUUCAGUCUCUGCCCCAGGAAGUUACAAUGACGAAGUUGCUAGUUAUUCAGUAACUAAGAAGCUUCAGAGACCUGCACAAUUUGAAAAAAAAAAAAAAAAAGAAAACCUUUUAAUGUUUAUUUAUUUUUGAGAGAGGGGAGGGGCAAAGGGGCAGAGAGAGAGAGGGAGAAACAAUGCCAAGCAGGCUGGAGACUCUAAGCUGUCAGCACAAAGCCCCACGCGGGGCUCGAACCCACGAACGUGAGAUCACGACCUGAGCCGACACUUAACCGACUGAACCCCCCCCCACAGGCGCCCCGAGAUGUGCACAAUUCUUAAGAGACUGAGCACCAGCUGUGUGCCGCUGCGU
rnacentral:lncRNA from 1 species